GAUGAACGCUAGCGGCAGGCUUAAUACAUGCAAGUCGAGGGGCAGCGGGAGUAGCAAUACUUGCCGGCGACCGGCGCACGGGUGCGUAACACGUAUGUAAUCUGCCCAUCACAGGAGGAUAGCCCGGAGAAAUUCGGAUUAAUACUCCAUAAUAGAAGAUAAAGCAUUUUAUUUUCUUGAAAGUUCCGACGGUGAUGGAUGAACAUGCGACUGAUUAGUUAGUUGGCGGGGUAAUGGCCCACCAAGACGAUGAUCAUUAGGGGAACUGAGAGGUUGAUCCCCCANACUGGCACUGAGAUACGGGCCAGACUCCUACGGGAGCAGCAGUAGGGAAUAUUGGACAAUGGGUGCGAGCCUGAUCCAGCCAUGCCGCGUGCAGGAAGACGGCCUUCUGGGUUGUAAACUGCUUUUGCCAGGGGAUAAAAAGUCCCUGCGGGGAAAAUUGAAGGUACCUGGUGAAUAAGCCACGGCUAACUACGUGCCAGCAGCC
rnacentral:rRNA from 1 species